rnacentral:snRNA from 1 species
UACAUCUUUUGCGAGUCAA